rnacentral:rRNA from 1 species
UACAGAGGUCCCAAGCGUUGUUCGGAUUCACUGGGCGUAAAGGGUGCGUAGGUGGUGUGGCAAGUUUGAUGUGAAAUCUCCGGGCUUAACCCGGAAAAUGCAUUGAAUACUGCCAGGCUGGAGGGUUGGAGGGGGGACUGGAAUUCUCGGUGUAGCAGUGAAAUGCGUAGAUAUCGAGAGGAACACCAGUGGCGAAGGCGAGUCCCUGGACAACACCUGACACUGAGGCACGAAAGCUAGGGGAGCAAACAGG